GGGGCUGUAGCUCAGUUGGCUAGAGCGUCGCCGUGGCACGGCGAAGGCCGCCGGUUCGAAUCCGGCCAGCUCCA
rnacentral:tRNA from 1 species